CCUACGGGUGGCAGCAGUGAGGAAUAUUGGUCAAUGGGCGUAAGCCUGAACCAGCCAAGUCGCGUGAGGGAUGACUGUUCUAUGGAUUGUAAACCUCUUUUAUAAGGGAAUAAAGUGCGGGACGUGUCCCGUUUUGUAUGUACCUUAUGAAUAAGGAUCGGCUAACUCCGUGCCAGCAGCCGCGGUAAUACGGAGGAUCCGAGCGUUUUCCGGAUUUAUUGGGUUUAAAGGGUGCGUAGGCGGCCUUUAAGUCAGCGGUGAAAAUCUGUGGCUCAACCAUGGAAUUGCCGUUGAAACUGGGGGGCUUGAGUAUGUUUGAGGCAGGCGGAAUGCGUGGUGUAGCGGUGAAAUGCUUAGAUAUCACGCAGAACCCCGAUUGCGAAGGCAGCCUGCCAAGCCAUGACUGACGCUGAUGCACGAAAGCGUGGGGAUCAAACAGGAUUAGAUACCCCAGUAGUC
rnacentral:rRNA from 1 species